AAAUCUUCAUUUCGUGUAGUGCUAAGAAUGAUAGCAAUAAUUCAAACAAAUCAACUCUAUAUCUUGUAUACAUGCUAUAAUAAUAAUCCAAAACAACUUUUUUUCCUAAUUUACAAACCACAAAAUAUAUAAUAUAAUAUCAACAUCAUCAUCUACACAUUAACUUCUACAUGAAAUAAAAACUUAAAAAAACAAUGAUGCUAAAAGAAAAGAAACACACUAAUCUCUCUGCAAAAAUUACUUUCUUAUCUAAACAUAACUAAAUCCAGCUGCGAGAUCAGUUGUGAAGAGGGUUCGGGCCUCCUGGAGUUUUUCGAUUCGAGACGCCGUAAAUCGAUUCAUCUUCUUUGUCUCUCGAUCUCGUCGGACUUUCCGCCGGCAAAUGCCAUGAAUACUUUGAAAGAAGUCUCGACGACGAAGAAGAAUUUUCAGCCGUUGAUUCCGCCGGGAAUUCGCGACAGUCGGAGAUGGCGAGGAAGAUGAUCAGAAUGAUCAGCAGAAAUGGGGUUUUGGGAGAAUGAUUUUUCAUAAUAUAUGAAAAAUGUUGAAGAAGAGAAAUGGUAGAGAUAUGUGAGAAAAUGUGUUGUUAUGGCACCAAGAAGCUUAAAUAAGUCAUCAUAUGAUCUUAUAUAAGUUGGAAUGACUAUAUUGGCCCCCAUGAUUGUGUGUGAAAUGGGUUCUUGAUUUUAAUUAGAGGCUUCCAAUUUGUAGCCAUUUCUGUUGACCAUCUUGUAGUUAUGACUUUUCUUGAAUAGUUUAAAUUUAAUUGAGUUGUUUAAGUUUGGUAUUUGGAAGUUGUAUAUCAUGUAUAAUUGGUUUAGUGUUUGAAGUCAAGAAAAAGAGUCACACACGAUAUUAUCAAUUCCCACACGUUGCGACACUUUCUCUCUUUUCAUGAAUCAAGAAUUGAAAUUGUGCUCGUGGGCUUGACAAAUUGAGCCAAGGAGUUAGCUUAAAUUCUACUUUUGUGUCUAUUGCGAUUAAUUUAAUUUUAGAUGCCGUUGUUUUUAUCUUAUUAUUAUAUUUACAUAUAUAUUUUUUGCUAUGGCCGGAGUCAUUAUUAUUAUUAUUAUUAUUAUUAUUAUUUUUAUCUUAUUAUUAUUAUUAUUAUUAUUAUUAUUAUUAUGGUAAAAAAGAAAUGAAAAAUAUUAGUUUAGAUUUAAUGUGAAUGCAUGGUUUGGAGUGGCAUUUCGUGGAUAAUCGAGUGCCAAAUCUUGAAAGACAUUUGGCUGGAAUUUUGGGCAGUUUGACUUGUAAGAAGGCGAAUCAUUCGUUGUUAAUCGUUAUGAGAUUUAAUAUUUGAAUAAAUAUUGAUUGUUAAUAGUAAAGUCUCAUGUGCCGACAGAGUAGUGAUGCACAUGAUUUAGAAGUGUUGAUAAUAAAUUAUUAUGAGCAUUGAAUGUCCAAAUAUAAAUAUGCAGUACUGCAAGAUGGUCUUCCCACAAUAAAUUCAUUGUUUCCACACAAUUAUUAAUUGUUGACAUUUAAAUUUGAGGUAUUUCUUAUGCUUUACGGCAUAUAUAUAUAUAUGUUACUAUACCUUGAAAUGGCCGGUCGUUCUUGGCUCUACCGUCUCAUUAAUAAUCGUGCUGGAUUAUAUUUCAAAUUCGAAAGUAUUAAUUUUAUUUCUGAAAUAAAUUUGGAAUUUGAAUAUGGAUCCAAUGCCAUGUACGUAAUUUAAUUAUAUUACUAUAUACGUUGGCAAUUAGGUAGAUGCCAGACGUGAUGAUAGAUACAUUUAGAUGCUACAUUAAUUUCAUUUUGCAUAUGCACUUGAAGAGAUGUAUAGUAUGGGUACGUGUUGUUUGAACAAAUAUAUGGGGGUAUUAUUUAUGAAUUCUUGUGGUGAUUUUAGUACCCAUUUCCAUUUGUGUGUAAAUGUAUAUAAAUGUGAAUUUGUUUUCUUUUAGUUGAGAUUUUGACCUCGAUUAAUCACUUUUUAUUAAGCUAAUUACACACUUUUAGAGUAUUGUGGUUAUGUUUUGCAUCAACAUGAUCACGAUGUGAUUUAAUUAAUCUAAACAUGAAAAUGACACAAAAAGAAUUUGAUUAACACGCCCCACUUUCCAUAGAGCAAUUUCAAGAUUAAUGUGUGUAAUUAGCGAAAUAAGAUAAAAAGCUUUAUUUUGAGCAAAAUUUUACUCUCUGUCGAUGAGAUUAAUUUCCCUGUCUUUCUCUCUAUCAAUUUGCAAGUGUAAUAAUAUUAUUUAUUAUGUGAGCCAAACUUGUGGCUUGGAAAAUAAUUAACACAAAUAGAUUAGUGAUUGAAAAGAGCAAGAAAUUGAAAUUAAAACCUAAAAAUUGAAUCUUGAUUAUAAUUUUUUUUACUAUUAUGAUGCGAUGGUUUCUGGGCUCCUCUCAUUCGUCAAUACACCCAAGCAUGCCUACUUUCUUCCUCUCUCGCGUGCACACAAGAGCAACAAGCUUGGCUCACAUAAUAAAUUAAUCUCAUUGACAAAUGUUUGUCAUGUAAUCUUAAUUUGUCAUGUUACCUAAUCUAUACAUAUAUAAAAGCUGGUCCAUCUAGCCAAAAAAAUUUCCCGCCCUUUUACUCAAUUUAUUUUUGGAAAGUUGAUCUAUAUUUGGAAAGUUGACUAAUUUAUAGGAUGAUAUAUAUAUAUAUAUAUAUAUACAUUUAUAUUUAUAUAUUUAUAUUCUUAAUUAAAUGUAAUUAAAUCUACAUUUAAUUGAACGACAUUUAUUCCCAUCAUCUAUAUAUGAAAUUUAUAUGUAAAAAUUUGUAGAUCACUAAUCUAUACAUAUAUAAAAGCUGGUCCAUCUAGCCAAAAAAAUUUCCCGCCCUUUUACUCAAUUUAUUUUUGGAAGUUGAUCUAUAUUUGGAAAGUUUGACUAAUUUANNNNNNNNNNNNNNNNNNNNNNNNNNNNNNNNNNNNNNNNNNNNNNNNNNNNNNNNNNNNNNNNNNNNNNNNNNNNNNNNNNNNNNNNNNNNNNNNNNNNNNNNNNNNNNNNNNNNNNNNNNNNNNNNNNNNNNNNNNNNNNNNNNNNNNNNNNNNNNNNNNNNNNNNNNNNNNNNNNNNNNNNNNNNNNNNNNNNNNNNNNNNNNNNNNNNNNNNNNNNNNNNNNNNNNNNNNNNNNNNNNNNNNNNNNNNNNNNNNNNNNNNNNNNNNNNNNNNNNNNNNNNNNNNNNNNNNNNNNNNNNNNNNNNNNNNNNNNNNNNNNNNNNNNNNNNNNNNNNNNNNNNNNNNNNNNNNNNNNNNNNNNNNNNNNNNNNNNNNNNNNNNNNNNNNNNNNNNNNNNNNNNNNNNNNNNNNNNNNNNNNNNNNNNNNNNNNNNNNNNNNNNNNNNNNNNNNNNNNNNNNNNNNNNNNNNNNNNNNNNNNNNNNNNNNNNNNNNNNNNNNNNNNNNNNNNNNNNNNNNNNNNNNNNNNNNNNNNNNNNNNNNNNNNNNNNNNNNNNNNNNNNNNNNNNNNNNNNNNNNNNNNNNNNNNNNNNNNNNNNNNNNNNNNNNNNNNNNNNNNNNNNNNNNNNNNNNNNNNNNNNNNNNNNNNNNNNNNNNNNUUUUUAUUAUCGUCAAACCAAAAUCAACUCCAUUAUCAAAGCAUCUCAUUCAAUAUAAUAUAUUAAAUAUAUAAGUUUCAUAUAUAUUUCCCAAUCAAAUGUCGUAUCCCCGUGGCCUAUAUAAACUAACUUUUGGUGUUGAAAUUUUUACUUGUAGUCACUUCUUCUUUUGAUAUUCAUCAUUUCUCUAAUCACAAACAUGCCGACCAUGUGGUACUUUAGUAAAAAAAAAUUGCAACCAAAUAAUGCCAGAUCUACAAUGAAUUAAAUAUGAGGCUAUUUUAUUUUGGAAGGGAAAGUUCUCACAGACCAUAAUGCAGGACAUACUAAGUAUUGAAUACUAAGGAAUGACAACUGAUACCAGUUGAUCCAAGACUACCACUCAAGUUUCAACGGCAGCAGUUCCCUAUUAUUGUUUCUUAUGCAAUGACUAUAAACAAAAGUUAAGGUCAAUCACUCUCUCAUGUGAGUUUAUUUUUAAUAAGCCCGUUUUUAGUUACAGUUAGUUUUAUGUAGCUAUUUCUAGAGUUACAAGUCGAAUGAGUCUGAAAAUCUUGAUAUGUAAUAAAGACAAAGUAGAUUAUUAAUUCUACAAAUGUUGUAUAUAAAUUAUAAAGAAGUGUUCCAAAAUUUAUAAUAAUAAGAUGACAAGUUUGCAAUUGUCUUUUCAUGUAUUAUUAUUUUCACCUUUAUUUUUAAGCUAUGAUGCACGGAUUCUUCAAAAAUUAGCAUGUACGGUGAAUCGGAUUCUUUUAGGGUGCGAUUUUCUCGGAUUCUCGUCGGAUUCGCACCCGAUUCGCCACGUGGCGUAUCUUUUAAAAUAAUUUAUAAAAUAAACCGGAUUCACAAAUUCCAUAGGCGAAAUUCACGUAUCUCCUGCACGAAAGGCCUACACAAGGUUAUUUUGAUAAUUUUAUUUUCAGUGUUGACUUGUAUAUUGGACUAAUAAUAUUUGAAUCGUUAUAUUGUUGCUCAAUUAACUUAUAUAAUUGAAAAUGCUUAAACUUUUGGGUAAAAUAAAAAUGUAAAUUACAUAUAACUAAUUUAAGAAAAUUUAAAUUGUAUAUAUUUUAUAAGUAUUAUAUAUCAUAAAAUUUUAAUAAUUAGAUGUAUCAUUGUCGAACCGCACCCUAUAAUUUUUAAAAAAUCCGUAUCCCCGUACUCGUAUCGUAUUGCCCCCGCAUCCGCACCCCCGUACCUAUGCAACAUAGUUUUUAAGUAAUUUAAAAUGUUAGUCUUAAAUACAUUUUAGCAGUAACAUAGUUGGUAUAACAAUUGUAUAAUAAAAUAUUUUAAAAUCAUUUAUUUUAGAGAUUAUACAAAAGUGUCUUUCAGAAUGUUACAAUAAAAUGUUUAUAUUGUUCGAUGUCUUACUUAAUCAGGUAUAGACAUCCUAUGAACUUUUACGUAAAUGGAUGAAUUUUAAAAUAAAUUAUGAUAUUUUUUAUUAUUUUAUAUCUUUAUUUUAAUUUUAAUAACUUUCAACAAAAAUAUAUUCAUAUUUCUUUUAAAAAAUUAGUUAAGCAAAACCAAAUUUUAACAAUAUAUGUAAUCCCGUGCAUCGCACGGGUAAAACACUAGUUUAGAUUAAAAUGAUACUCCCUCCGUAGGGAUGUCAAAAAAGCCAGAAACCGACGGGUUGACCCGAAUAGACCGAUAAAAAAGGUGGGUUAGGGUUGAAAAUUUUUAGCCCGAAAAAAAAUUUAGCCCGAAUGGCCCGAACCGAAAAUAGCCCGAGCCCGAUAGGGUUGGCUCGAAAACCGAGUGGGUUGGCCCGAUUGGUCGGUCAAAGUCAUGUUAGAUGUAAGUAGUUAGUUCCCCAUCCACUCCAAGAACCACCUUAUCUCUCCAUUCACCAAACUCCAACCUUAUAUCUCCAAUCACCAAUUCGUUCCCAAGAGGGAUCGAACCCGGGUCACUUCACUUGAGUGAGGACCCGGUGGCCAGUGGGCUAAGCCCCCUGGUUGGGUUGGCCCGAUUAACUGGACACAUUCUUAAUAAUUGAUUUUUAAACUUUAAUACGUUACUUUUUAAUUCAAUAUAUAACAUUUUGAUGCUUAUAGAAUAUGUUUUGAUUUUUUCCAACGGUUAAUAACAAACAUCUAUAAUAUAAAAGUCAAAUAAAGAUAGUCAUUUAUGUUAAGGCCGUGUUUGAUACAUAAAUUGAGAUAAGAGAUGAUAAAUAAAAUCUAAAUAAAUAAUAUAGAUUAGGGGAGAUUGUUAAUAUUUUAUAGGUGUUUGAUAAAUAAAAUAUAAAUACUAAGAUAAAUAGUAUUAUUGUUUGGUACAAAAAUACAACUAUAGAUUAAAGAAGAAAUUACAAUUUUAACCUUAUAUUUAAAUAAAUAAAUUAAACAAAAGAAAAUUCAUAAAACAAUUAUUUAAUCCCAACCCCCCACCAGCCGGCCCCCACCCUCAAAUUCUUCUUCUUCCAUAACCUCACAUUCUCUCUCCCCCACCGCCACACCAACACCACCCCACACGGCCACACCAGAUCUCCUCUCCCCCUUUCCCUCAACAGAAUCACCAUCCAUCCUUUCCAAAAUUCUUUCACAUUCCCCCUUUCUUGCCGCAGUACCCCCCAAUUUUGUUGUAGACCAGCAACCCUUCCAAAUUUGUUGCAGACCAAAUCUCCUUUCCCCACCCUCCGACGGCCCAAAUUUCUUGCUGCGCCCGCCCCCCCUCUCCACCUUGGAACAUCGUUGCUCCGCCAUCGCCUCAAAAAGGGAUCAGCGACCCUUGCCCCGAAUUUCUCGCUGCGCCGACACCCCCCUCAAAAUCUUUUCCCUCCGUCCAAAAAAAACCAGCAACCCCCAACUCCAUUGAAAUUAGUGGUGUGUUUCAAUCAAAACCUUGCAAUUUAAUCUGCAUAAAUGGGCUGCCUUUUCCAAAAAUUCACAUAUUUGAUAGAGAAAUUUGAGGGAGAAAAUUGGAAACACAAAACCUAAUCUCAAUUACUGUUCAAAGUGAGAAAACCGAUCAGGGGGUGAGGGGUGGAUGUAUUUUCUAAAUGCUACAGUGUUUUGGUGCGGGCUUCACCUCUUUUUGCGGGCCUGAGAGAUUAUUGAAAUAGCCUAUCAAACAGUUAGAAAUGGUGAGAAAUAUUAUCUAUCUCACGUAAUAAACCGUAUCAAACACGGCCUAAAUCUAUAUACAAUUUUUAUCAUAAACGAAAUUAAAGUUAGAUAUUAUGUAAACUUAUGUUAAAAAAACAUUAAUUUUUGUAUCUUAAAUAAAGCGAAAUGUCUUGAUUUAAAAAAUACGAUAUAUUUUUAUUACAAGAAUAUGAUUAUCUAUAAAAAAAAUAAACAUAUAAAAAAAUCGUAAAACUUGCGGGCCCGAACGGGCUAGCCCGAAACCGAGUGGGUUAGGGUUAGGGUCAAAAAAUUUUAGCCCGAAAAAUAAAAAAAUCGACUAGCCCGAACCGAAAAUAACCCGAAACCGAAUGGGCUGACCCGAAACCUAGUGGGUUGGCCCGAUUGACAUCCCUAUGACCCUCCGUCUCAUUUAACAUGACCCUUCUACCAUCGUGGGUUAUUCCAUUAAUACAAAUGACUCAUUUCAAAAUGAAUUUUUUUGGCUCCAGCACUUUCUAUCACUAUUUUUCUUAAUAAUCCUGCCCAUAAGUAAGGAGUCACAAAAAAUUGACUAAACACUCUUUUUCUUAAUUACUCCCUCCGUUCCACGAAUCUUGACACAUAUUCCUUUGUGGACCGUCCCACGAAUCUUGAUACAUUUUCAAAUAAGGUAAUAAAUUUUACCUCCUACUUUAUCACUUUUAUACUUUAUUAACUACACACUUAAAACACUAAUCUACAAUUCCUUAAUUCCCGUGCCGAAACCAAAUGUGUAUUCGUGGGACGGAGAGAGUACAACUUACUAUUAGUUUUCAAUUAGAAUCUAAUAAGAAUUUAAUUGAAUUAACUGAAAACAUAAAAAACACAAAGGGCCGGCCGGCGCCGCACAUGCGACCGGCCGACAAGGGACCUGCUGAAUAAUAAUUUGGCCAUAAUUUUUACUCCAAUUUACAAAAUUAUGGCUUAAUUAAUAACUUUAAAAGAAUCGAGUAAAAUCCAAAAACCUUGCAAGGGCUUUGCCAUUCUUUUUUGCUUUUAAGACAAAUUGAGUGAGGGAAUUGAAGAUACAAAAUUUGAGUUUUGAAAUUCUGCUUCAUUACACCAGGGUUUGUGAUCGUCAGUUAGUCUAUUCACUUCACUUAAAUAAAUUAGAUAAUGAAAAUGUUUCUAAAAUUUAAUCAAACUCAAAUUAUUUUAGCAUAAAGCAAUCAAUACAAGAUUACGAAAUUAUCACGCGUGCAGUUAUGGAAGCAGACAAGCACUUAAAAAAAUUAUCUAAAAAAAUAUAAACACAUAAAUAUGAUCUGGCCUAUUAAUUAUAUGAUGGCCGGUUUAGGUGAAUAUAUAAUUCAAGUUUGAUGGAAAUCCAUGCAGCGACGUCACUUUUCUUUGUUUCAAGACAAUAAUAAAUUUCAGAUAAAGGUCGCUCUCAAACUUCACUUUCAUCAAUCUAUUAUCAUUGAUUUUGACGAGAAUUUCGUGUGCUCUUCACUCUUCAUCCUGAUUUGACUCAAUACUGCAAAAUUUGUUAAAAAUUAAAUUAUUGCACCAAGUUCUUUCUAGAAAAAAAUAAAAAUAAAUCUCCGAACUUUACAGAAGAAUUAAACUAAUUCCUAGCAAUUGUGAUUUUAUUUUACUCUUAAAAAAAACUGACAAUUUUGUGAAUUUUUAGCUUUACAUGGAUCACCGAAACCAUAUAGAACUCCAAGUCAUCAACUUUGACUUUGGAAAAGGAAAAAGAGAAGAGUCAAAUUGCUAAAAAGAAUAAUGAAACACCAACCUUUCAAGUUAUUUUAAGCAGUUUACCUAACCUUUAAAAAGUUUACAUAGUAAUUUUCAACAUUUAAUUUGCUUGUUUUUUUUUUUUAAUAUGGAAUAAAAGAAUAUCCUUUUAAGUUUAUUGAAACCCACAUAACCACUACUUUUGAUGAAGAGUAAACCAAAAUUCCUGUACAAUAUAAAACCAAAUUUGUGUCCUUUUCCAUUUGCUUAUUUGGUCAAUCAUACUGCUAAUCUUUCAUUUUCAUUCAGUGUGUAAUCAGGCACAUGGUGUAUGUAAUGCAAUGCACCAACAAAAAUAAAAAUANAUUUGUGUCCUUUUCCAUUUGCUUAUUUGGUCAAUCAUACUGCUAAUCUUUCAUUUUCAUUCAGUGUGUAAUCAGGCACAUGGUGUAUGUAAUGCAAUGCACCAACAAAAAUAAAAAUAUUUAAUUUGUAUUUCAAGGAAAAACAUAAUCUAGUCUAAACUAUUUUUUUUGUAUUUAUCUGAAGUCACCACGCAUCCAAUUCAAGGACCACAACAAACUGCGUAGAUGACUAAUCAUUUUGUUUUUGUUUCUUCAAAGAGCCAACAUGUGCCAAUAUGAAAUAUACGAGCUAAGAAAUAAAAUUUGGUUGUAACGUGUAAGUAAAUACUAUCAUAAAAAUUCUCUCAUCAUUUGCAAAGAUAUUAUUUCAACAUCUUGAAAGCAAUAGUGCAAAUCCAACUAAACCUGUGUGAAGAGUUAGAAAUCAUAUGCACCACAAGAGUUAGAGAACGGACCUCCUCGCAACGCCGAGACAACAUUAUAUACAAGGUUGAAGGAACUAGUUUCGUAGUUGAAUGCCAGGGAUGCCUUUCAACCCCAUCUUCACUGCAGUUUUACGGAAGAGUGCAGGUGGCUUCUGUAGACCGAUGGAUGCUGCAAAUUGGUUGGCCAACUCCACCAAUGUUGUUUUGUCCCUUCCAAUGGCGUUUAUCGAGUUGUAAUAACCGAGCCAGGCAUGAUAAGCAGCUUCUUUGAUACUAGUGUCAAUCCUGUCCAUUUUCUCUUGUAUCUGCAUUUGUGUUCAACAACCAAAUAUUUAAAACAGGAAAUGACAAAAGAAAAUCAACAUAGAAACAAAUAUAUGCAUUUCCUGAGAUUAUGAAAAUUUGGUAGUACUAUCUCUUCUUGCCAACAGCCAACCGUAAACACACUCCAUAAAAAGAAGGUGAAAUGUCCGACACAGAGAACAAAAAGAUGCUUCUCGAUAAAGAAGGUAAGCUGGGAAACAAUUUCUCCAUGUCCCGAACGUCUCAGUUCAUAGUCUUACAAGGGUAACUAGUUGCAUCUAGAUUAACACUUGCACCAUACCACCAAACUCUAUCUAUUUGUUUGUCUUAGGUUUGGAAAUUAUGAAAGAGGUCCCCAUACCUUCUGCAUCACAUCAGGAUCUAGUUCUGGUGAAGGGAGUUUCUCGAGAGGAAGAUCCUUUAUAUCAUCCAAGAAGUAUUGUUCCCAUGGCGCAAGCAAUAGGCAUCCUUCACCAUCUUUCCCUUGCCGCCCUGUUCUUCCGAGUCUAUGAAUAUAUUGUCCUCGAUCUGGAGGAAUGCCAACCUGAAAGUACCAGAUUUGGAUUCUUCAACAUAAUAUGGAAUAAAAUGCGUGUAUAUAGGAUAAAAUCACUAGAGAAGGAACAUUAGAGAGAAAUUAAAAAGGAUAGGAUUAGGAUAAGGGAAAAGCCUUGCGAGAAUUUAGAAGAUGGAAAUUUCAGAAAAGGAAACCAAAAGAAAAAUGAGUAUAUUGGUAAUACCCUUUCAACAGCAGCAAAGCUAAGAAAUUAACUAACUAGACAGGAAGGUUCUAUGUUAAAGAGCUAGAAUCCCGACGGUAGAGUUCUGGAACUUGUACGAAAACGCAAUUAAUCACCACCUGAAUGACUAGCGUAACAUCAGGAUAGUUCAACCCUCUUGCAGAGACAUCAGAAGUAACCAGAAUGGCUUGUUUUGCUUCCUUGAAUUCUUCAGAGACCCGAGCACGAUAGAGUGGAGGCUUUCUGGAGUGCAGCUCUCUGGCAUUCAAUUUCAUCUCCCGCAAAAGGGAGAACAUGAGUGAUGUCAUCAUUGCAGUUGCACAGAAAACAAUAACCUAGUGAGUCAAAAAGAAGUCCAUAAGAAUUGGAACAGAGCGUUUCUAAGUAUUCCUACGAAAAAAGCAACAGCAGCAGCAACCUACCUUGUACUCAGGCACUUGAGAUAUAUGGCUUUUCAACAGAUGGUGUACUAUCUGUAUAUGCUGGUCAUGGUGUGCAACAUGAUAAAAUUGCUUAACCUGAAUAAAGAAGUUGUAGGUCAACAAGUUGUCAUCUAGAAAACUAAACAUAAUGAGAGAGCAGGAGAGGGAAAAAUCAACAUCUGGACUAUAUACAAUGCUCAAUUUAAGAGAAAUCCACAACUGGACCACCAGCAGUCACAAAAAUAUACCUUUGCAUUUGUCUCCACAGAUUCAAGCCCCAGGGUAUUUAUAUAAGCAUGUUCCCUUUUCAGAACAAGCUGAGAUAUUCGACGGACCUGAGGUUGUAAAAUGGGAACAUAGUAAGCAAUAGUAGAUUACAUCUCCACACUAUCUACUAAUCUAUCAAUAAGAUGCAAGCUCAAAAUUUAGACCUCCUUAGGGACUGUAGCCGAAAAGAGUAAUGACUGCUUCUUGCGAGGCAAACAAUCAACUAUUUUCUCCAUAUCCUUACGAAACCCCAGGUCAAGCAAGCGGUCCGCUUCAUCAAGUACAAGCAUCUGCAGUCCCAUCAAGCGCACUGAGAUGGCAGACUUGUUCUCAAUGUGAUCCAGCAAUCUACCAGGAGUUGCAACGAGUAUACUGCAAUCAUCAUACUCUCAAUAGAAACAGAAAACAAUAGUGACAGACAACUAUAGUUUCCAGGCUGAUCUACCGCAUAAGUUGGAAAAAGUUGAAAACGUAUGCAUACAUGGCAUGGAUCUGAUUCUAGGCGUCUCUGAUCAUCUUUAAAGCGUGUCCCUCCAACUAAAGUUAGCACACCUAUGCCACUGUGGUGUUUUAGGAGUACAUUUGCUUCAGCAGCUAUUUGACUUGCAAGUUCUCUAGCAGGGCAAAUAAUAAGAACAUAUAUAGGUGGCACCCGCUGAUUAGUGCUCUUACUUGAUGCCUUCAGAACUGUUUCAAUAGCAGGAAGCUGUAUAUGUUUAGCAAAAGAAUGAGCAGGAUAAAUGAAUUAAUCAAAGAACAAAAUAAAAAACGAAAUGUGUAGAGAUAUACCAAAAAAGCAAUACUCUUGCCUGUGCCAGCCCUAGCUUUGACUAAAGCAUCCUUACCUGUGAACAAGAGCAAUCAUUUCUCUGAUUAUUAGAAACAAAUAAAGAAUUUAAUUUUAAAAACUGAAGAAAUAGGUGUAAUAUAUUUUUCCUCCUAAGAAAUCAUGAAAAAAUGUGUAAUGAACUACAAAAUAAUAUCUGAGAUCCUGUAACGAAACCGAAUAUCAAAAGAAAAGCAUCAGAGAACCAAAAAUUAUACAUAUAAAAGAAAAGAAGAAAAAGAUCCACGGGUUGGUUUUGCACCAUUCUCUCUAUCAAAAUCUAAUAGCUGAGAAACCAAUAUCCUAAUCUCACAACUGAUUACUUGAAUUCAAUCCAAAUACCGCAUGUUUCUUAAAACCAAUACAGUAUCACCAACCAGCAGAGUCACUGCAGCAAUAGACAUGAGUCGCAUGAGGUUAACCAUUUAUGCUUAAUCAGCAAACCAAAUUAAAUUACAGUUCUAAUAUUUCUUUCAUGAUAGUGUUUGUGAUAUUGCUCAAAUACAUAGAGGAGUUCGCCAUACUCUAAUAUAUGAAGAGCGAGAACAUAAUGACAAAGCUCUAAAGUAGCAAGCAAGAACUAAAUGACAAAAGACUAAGAUCUGAAGUAACGUGUCAACUUAAAAGCUAUGCAAUUCUUUCCACAGAACCAAAUUUAAAGAGUAGAUGUGACUACAACCUUCAAGGCAGGCAGAGAGGGUCGCCUCUUGCACCGUGGUCAUCUGCACAUAACCAGCCUCAGUAAGUGCUUUGACAGUCAAGGGAGACACAUCACACUCGUCGAACCUGAAAAGGGAUCAAUCCAAAUCUCUCAUUUCCAAUCAAUCAAAGUAAUAGAUAUCUACCACAAUAGGAAUUACAAGAUUCAAAAUUUCACAAAUGACGCCCCUCCAACCUUUUUGUACUUAGUAGUGAUUCCUCUUCAUCUUUUCCCUCAUGCUGCAUGCUAUUCCGCUGUCUGAUCUCCUCUCUAAUCUUCUCAACCUCCUGCGAUAAAUCAAUCUCACCUUCCAAUUGUUCCAACUGCACACGUUUUGUUCUCUUCAUAUCAUACUUCCCCAAUGCCGCACUACUGCUCAAAACCUUCUUGGCACUUCCCAUAUCGACAUCAUCAUCAUCAUAGUCAUCACUGUCAUCAUCAUCCGAAUUCACUCCCCUUCCUCGAAACCUAGGCCACUUCGACCUUUUAGGAUCCAAGCCAUCUUUAACUACAGACUUUUCACUAUUUCUUACAAAAUUCAACCUCUUACUCUUCGCACGCGCAGCAUCUACAGAAUAGUAACAAUUCGAAUUCAACAAAUUGCUCACGCCUAUCAAACCUCCAAGCUUAGGAUUUCCCAUUAAAUUCAAGCCAUUAUUCAUCUUCCCAAAAUACUCAUUUCCAAUACCACCCAUCAGAUUAUCACCCCACCUGGCGUAAGUAGAAAACCGCCUAGGUUUAGCUACACCGACACUGAUAUUUCCGAAAAGAUGGCUCUUUUGAAUCUUCUCACCGCCAUUAGAGAUCGACCUCUCCGCAAUCAAUUUCUGCAAAUUAAUAGGGUCGCCUAAGAAUCUGCUUUUCCCCGUCUUAUUGACCGGAACUGUCAAGGGGCCAUCGUUCUCGUUCCAUAAAUCCUCUGCGCCUUCCUUCAUAAAGCGAUCAGCUAGAGCCUUGAUGUGCUCCUCGGGAGUCAUGGGGCCGUAAUUGGGCUGGUUUUGACGGGGUUUUUCAGGGGCGAAACCAGGGUUUUCAGCAGCGGCGACUUUGGCCCGGAUUUCGGAGCGAACUCUAGCCUGAUAGAGUUGCUUUUCUUGUUCGAGAAGACGUUUCUCUUUCUCUCGGGCUUUCUUCUCGUGCAAGCGCUUCCACUGCCACUUGUUGAUCCCGCCGGGAAACGUCCGAGGGCCGCCGCCCAUGCGGCGGAGAAAUGUGAGUCUGUGGCGGAGUGAUUUGGAAUGAGUGUGGAGAAAAAUAGAGGCGAAAUGCAUUUUUUGAAUUUGGAAAAAUUGUUUGCUCCAGGGUUUAGGGUUUAAGAAUUGCCAACUUCUUUCCUGUUUUUUCUAUAUCAACCUGUUUGCCCUAUCAAUUUAACAUUUUUAAAAUGUUUUACUUUUUUAUUUUUAUUUUUGAGUUAAUUGCUCCUAAAUACACGAACUUUUACUGAACUAUGGAAUUGCACAUCACCUUUAAAAUCCAUUGUAUAAUACAUCAUCUUUAACCUUUUUUUAGAUUUUUCCCACGACCAAAAAAUCCCCAAUCGAAAAAAUGACUUUGACAGUCGAUAAAUUAAAAUAAUCGAGCCCUAAUUUCCAGCCUUUGUACUCCCUUCCAUUCUUCUUCUUCUUCGCAAAAGAGCAUGAAUACCAAUUCGAAAUAUUAGCUAUUCUAUUCAUUUUUUCUACUAGGUUUUGUUUUUUGGAAGAUUUCUCUUCACUAUCAGAAAUUAGCUAUGCUGAUAAUUUUUGAAACUUUAAUUUCCCUUAUAGUGCUUGAUACUGAUCAACUCAUAUCCUCCCCCUAAAAUUAAGGUGGCUUGUUCUUCUUAUUAGUAAUAUGCAUGGCAUGCACAAAAUCAUAUACUAUUACUUUGGUGUUGUAGUUUGGGUUAAUUGCCUCUAAAUCCUUAAACUAUAGUCACUUUCCGUUUUUUCCUUCAAUCUUUGAACUUUCUAUAAAAACCACCAACUAUUGAUUUUCCCUAUUUUCCCAUGACGAAUUUUUCGGCCAAAUUCGUACACACAUGGAAUCAGAAUUAUCUAACGUGGACACGCCGGAUACUUAAUAAAACGAUGCCGUGUGUAUUGUACAUAAACGACGUCGUUUUACACGUUCUUGUUCAAAUAAAAUUAGGGUUCUUGCUGAAACCCUCAAUUAGACACGUCGGCGGCUGAAAAGCGCCGCGGCGAUGGCGGCCUGUACUUUCCGAUGAUGCGGAGGUGCAGCGACACUGCUAUUGUCAUGGUGAUGCGGAGGUGUGUGCGAUGUACUUCCCGGCCAGAAAUUAAGAAAGGGAGAUGAGCCUGAGGGGGAGCAAAUGGUGGACGGCGAUGGUGGCGGCGUGUACUGUUGUUGUCCGUCGAGAUAGAGUAUAAGGGGUUGGGUGGUGGUCCUUGUGGCUACUUCUCAGCCGGUUGAUGGAGUAGGAAGACGACUGGGCGGCGUUACUGUUGCCGCAGGGGCGAGGCAUAUUGGGAUUCGGGAUCGAUCCUCCGGCUGCUGGUCAAUCGAUCCUCUGGCUGCCGUUCGAUUGAAAUCAAAGUAGAUGGGGCCUAGGGUUUUGGGAUUUGGCAGAUUGGGGAUUUUUUCCAUCUGCGUCAGAGAGAGUUUUUCUGUAUCAGAGAGAGCUUGGAGAGGGGGAAAGGGCGGCGAUGCCCUGGUUAUCGUCGUUGUCGCCGACGAGAAAGAGUGGCGGCUGUUCGCCGAAAGAGAAGAAAUAAUACAAAUUUAGGGAAGGGGCCAGGGUGCGUGUGUGGCAUCCGUAUAGGGUUAUGUGGCAUACACUGCACACGUGGACGCCACGUUUUAAGUGAAUAUCACCACAUAGGAUAAUUCCAAUAUCGAAUUUGGCCAGAAAUUACAGUCAUGGGAAAAUUGGAAAAAUCGAUAGUUGGUGGAUUUUAAUAGAAAGUUCAAAGAUUGAGGAAAAAAAUAGAAAUUGACUAUAGUUUAAGAAUUUAGAGGCAAUUAACCCUUGUAAUUUAUCUAUAAAUGAGUAAGUUGUUGAAUACACAACCUUGUGCCUUUAUGCUUGGAUUUUAAUUGUGCCAGUUGGGACUGACUAAUUGACUUAAUGGUCUUGUGUAAUUUGUUUUCCAUUACAUUUCAGCCUGCAACUUAAAUUUCCAUUAACAAGUUUUCCAUUGACUUAAUGGUGUGUUCUUGCGAAGAAGAAGAAUGGAAGGGAGUACAAAGGCUGGAAAUUAGAGCUCGAUUAUUUUAAUUUGCAAUUCACUUGUGGAGUACUUAAAAACGACGUAGUUUUUUGAAGUUGGGCGACACAUCAUUUUUCAGGUGUUCCAACGUGAUUACGUGUCAUUUUCUGACUGCCAAGUCAUUUUUCCGAUUGAGGACUUUUUGCCUGUGGGAAAAAUUAGAAAAAAAAGUGAAAACAAUAUUAUACUGCGGAUUUUAAAUGUGAUGUGUAAUUCCAAAAUUCGGUGAAAGUUUGUGUAUUUAGGGGCAAUUAACCCUUUAUUUUUUGUAAUUGGGGGUGACCGGGAGAUCACUCACUCUUUUGAAAACAAGGCCUACCAUUCAGUUAAUGUUUUUGUAAUGUUUAAUGCAGUAUAUUUUUAGAACUUUUAUUUCUUUUAUAUGUUGUUUUUUUUAAUAAUUAUACUUUAUUAUUUUUCUUAAGAAAAAAAAUAUUUUAUUUCAAAUCACAACGUACAAUGUCCAAGAACCAGGAUGGAAAGUUCGACUUCCAAGCCAUUAUAUCACAAGAAAAGAAAAUAAAAAUUGCUAGACUAUUAGCUGCUCGAUUAGCUUUGCUACUAGCAUGUUAGAAAUUCAAAACCACUUUCUCUUUUGAUUGUAAAAUAACCGAAUAAAUAUCAUCACAUUAAGAAUUCAUCUCUAAAAAAAUUUCAUGCACAACGUGGAUGGCAAGGAGAAAGUCCAAAUAGAUAACUAUUGGCCCCAAGUCAUUCUCUAAGCAAAAGCUAAUCCCAAGGAUCCUCGCAUGAAGUUCUCCAACAAUAAUCUUCUCAGUAUAACGAAUCUUGUGAGCCACAUUUGCAAUAGCAUUACAUAUAUUAUCUCUUAAGAUAAAGUCCACUCUCAUAGCUCGUCUCUCGUGAUGCGCUUAAACAUUGGUGUCGAGGCACAACGCAUCAUAUGCGACGACAUCCAAAGCUUCAACCCUUCUUUGGGCAACAGCUAGUGCGAGCGACUAUUUAGCAUCCUGAUAGUAGGAUAAUGAGACAGAUACACUCCCACGACAUGUAAAAAAUAGAUGACAUCUCCCACCAACUCUCCAUGCAUGUUUGACAUCACACAAGAAUCGCUAAAUGAACCAUAAUAUGACAAACCAACACUCUAGCUUAUCCACAUUGAGCCUAACAUAUAUGGUUCUACAAAUGUCUUUGGUGAUAUAAACAUCGGAUCUCCCUCAAAAAAUUAAACUUUUUCCAAAUCAUAUUCACGAAAUCACAGUAAAUAAUUAAGAUACUGAGAAAUGGUGUCCAUGCUUUCUUACACUAGUGGCACAGGCCCCUAGUCGGAAGAUGAUGUAUCGCAAGGGUUUGCCUAUGUUGCCAACAAGUUCGUUGUUGCUCUCCAUGCAAAGUGUUUGAUCUUCGGCAGGACAUUUAAGAAUCAGACACAACCCCACCACUCCUUGCUAUGAGAAGAUGAAGAGAAUGGUGGGGGUGUAGAAACCAGUCUCACAAAGGUAACCUGGCUUCAUCGAAUAUCUCCAUUUCUCAUCGCGAGUCUAAUAUCUGGUAUCAUCACACGUGUCUUCACAAGUUUAAUAGAAGUAAUGCAUUUCACCUCAAAAGGUAAAACAGAUUCAGUCAAUAACUUUGUAUUCCACUCCGUCGGACCAGCAAAACAUCAGCAACUCGUUAGUCGUCACUGAUCACCUGGAUACAAGCGUGCCCACUUGCGGUUCCCGGAAUCCAUGCAUCACAUCGAGCCUUAACAGAUCGACCAUUCCUAAUUUACCAUUUUAAUCCAAGAUUCAAUAGUUCAUGACUCCAGCAAAGGGACCGCCACAAGUAUGAUGUGUUGGAAGAAAUUGGGACGUCGAAAACAUUAGUCUCCCGGUAGUAACGCCCCUUAAGAACUCUAGCAAGGAAAAUAUUUGGAAACUUAAUAAGUCGCACCAUUUGUUUAGCCAGCGGAGCCUUAUUAAAUACUGGCACUUUUCUUAACCCAACCCUUCAUUCGACUUCGGCAUGUAAAGUUUAUCCCAAGAAGCAAAAUGCAUGUUUUUGUCAUUCUCCGAUCCACCCCACCAAAAGUUCACACAAGCCCUUCCAAUAUUUGCUCAGAUAGCAUCAAGAAUAUUGAAUCAAGACAUGGUGUAAAUCUGCAUUUCUAAACAGAUUUGAUCAAGACCUCUUUACCACCUACUAAGAAAAAAUUGUGUUUCCAAGAGAAAAGCUUCUUUGACACCCUCACCCGAAGAUAAUCGAACUAAACCUUAUUUUUACGUAGGAUAAACGUAAGGAGAACCGGAUACAUCUAGUGCCCCUCCAUUUCUCGAACACCCAAGAUUUGAACCGUCUUCCAAAUCUUAGCUGCCGAGGUGUUCAGACUAAAAGUAAUAGUAAAUUUUAGACUAAGCAAUUCAUAAUGUUUGACGGAACUGCGAUGCAUUCUCUGCCGAUAUAUUGUUAAUGAGUUUUUGAAUAGUCUCAGAAGGUAAAUCACGAGCUCUCUUGACUAGCCAUCCAUAGAAAUAUCCACCACGUCCUUACUAUCACGUUUUUUUCCCAUAAGAUAAACCUCAUUAUAAGCUUCCUCUCCCUCUCCUUCCACUUUUCCCCCUCUCGACCCUCAUCUUCCCCAGGUAUCCCAUCUUCUAACACACCACUUUUUAACCUCUCUGCCUUGCAAACCUCCUUCUAGUGGGGAGGGGGUCUUCCAACCCCUCCACGCUCAUAAACGAUAGCACACUUAUGAUAUUUGAUUGGUGAGAGAACGUUUCAUCCUCCGAAUCCAUUUUUUCCCAUGUACUCACCUAUCUCUCUCUUCAUCUGAUCGUGCCAGGUUACCGGGUACAAUGUCCUUAUUCUUACCAUUGUUAGACAUUUUCUUAUCACUUACCAAAAUGCCAAGCUCUUUAAUGCUCUCAUCCCCGGACAAGAAGAAUAUCCAUUAUCUUUCCCGAAAGCCUUUGAGAAGGUUGUACUAGACUUUGGUCCUUAUUAGGAUUAAAAUUUCAAUGGUGAUCAAGGGUCUUUGGUGCGUUAAGCCAAUUGCCAUAUCUUAGGUUAUUCAAUCCAUCGAGCCGUCUUCACAAAAGCGUAGCAUAUUCCCUACUUUACCGCACCCAUAACAAAAGUUGUGUAGUUUCUCGUAAAGCAAAAGAAUAAUCGCGCUCGACAUCUGGAACCAACCGUGCACAUCUCUAUAAGGGUUUAGAGAUAGACCAACGGAUCCGCAUACGGGCAAAUCGCCCCAAGCAUAGUCCUUUUGAUCCCAUAUAUAUCAAUUUCAAGUACCGUACCAAUUUUCUCACCAAUUUUCCGGAUAACAUCCGGGUGCAUGCAAGCCAUCGGUAGAUUAUGGCACUGUUUCAAUCUCGUGAACUCUUCAAACUUGACCUCUGAACGUUUUGAAAACCCUUAAGUUGAGCAAAU
rnacentral:lncRNA from 1 species